CCCUUUCUCAAACCUUAGCCAGUACUGCCAACUGUUGAUUUCCUCCAAGUAUCUUUGAGCAAGAUGGGAUUGGUGCUAAGGGACAAGGUGGGGAUGAAGGACUGCACCAUAACUUCUACUUAGAGUGGACUCCAAAGAACAGAAAUCAGGCCGUGAUGCACAAAGAAAACAGAAGCAGGAUGGCCCCGGUAGCUGGUGUUCAGAAAUCCUGAGGUUCAUUCAAGCAAUUCUCCAGCACAAGGCAAAGGAAAGGAGGCUGCACUCUGACUUGGCACAGUCCACACACAGCUCUCAGGCUACGAUUUGCUGAUUCUGUUUCUCCUUAAGGCUUUCUUUGACACUCACAUGAAGCCUGAUUUCCCCGCUAAAAGAACACAAAUGCCUGAAAGACGCAGGGAGAAGCGAUGGUUCCCUACUUGCAUUAAUUACCCUACCACCGGACAGGGACAUCCCAGGAACAAAGCAGAGCCAGCUGUGCUUCCCCUUGCAACACUGGCUUUCUAGUAUGCUCCUGACCAUAAAAUACACUGCAAAACAUGGUAGCUUCCCACCAUCUGAGCUGGGUUCGUAGAACCUCUCUUGUCCUUGUUCACCUUCUCACCUAUAAACACUUUUGGAGACACCUGUUUUAUAACCAUCCCAGUAUGGGAAAGAGAAAGGCAGGUGUUACUCCCAAGAAAGGGCCCUUACCCUUUAAGACAAAACGGAGUUGUUUGAAUUCUUCCUUUUAUCAGUAGUAAACUGAGCAAAGGAAUUGAAUAUCACUCGCUUCUGUAUCUCCAGCCCUGGCAAAGCUCCAGCUCACAAUUGCUGCUCAAUAAGUGGUGGUGAACUGCACUAAUGUCCAAGUCCUCUUGCACUGAAUUUGUUAAAUCUUGGGAUGCACACUGAAAACAGGUAAUGUACUUGCGCUUAUCCGUUUACACACACUCCCACCAUCUAGUCUCUCUCCCAACUUAAUUAUUUUCUAUGCUCAUCCACCCAGAAAGUUCAGUUAUAGGUGUAUUUUGUGUAAUAUCACAUUUUAAAUAAUAUCUAUGCUGAAUAGAAUCUAGUCUUAUGAAUUGUUGUUGAAUGAAAGAAAGUAUCAAUACACUGCAGGUAACAGGUAUUUUGGUAUGCAGUGAAUGCAAGAAAGAAAAAGUGAAUACAGCAAGCAAGCAACGCCCCUCAACAUGAAACAACUUUUCUCUUUCACUUACUAAUCUUGCUCCUUGUUUCUCUGGUCCUCCUGUCUUUUGUCGUUUUUUCUUCGUUUUUCCUCUUUUUCUUUUUUCAUGUUUUUCUUACUUGCUAGGCUUUUAAGCUGGUUGGGUACUCAAAGGAGUGACAAAAUUACCAAAGGAGUUGAGCAAUAUUACCAAAGGCACUCAGAUUUCCCAUGUGAGCUUCCUUACCCUACGUACGCCUUUUGCCCCAGAGAAAGGGUGCCCUGGUUCAAAAUAACUGUAACUAGUUCUCUACCUUUCUCUUCUCUCAUAAAGGGACAUGUAGGAAGAGUCAGAAGAGCAAACCUUUAUAGGGUCUCCUUGGGUAUCAGCUGGCCAUGGUAAAAUGACAGUAACCUACUUGUAAACUCAGACAAGUUUGCAGAGUUUAAAUACAAUUUUUUAAUCAAGCUAAUAUUCGUCAACUGCCCAUCUAUGAGUUGUUUAUUGGAAAAAAUUAACUGCCCUAAAAUGUAUUUUAAAUAACUUGUUUUGAAAUUAACACUUAAAAAAGAAAAACAUUUCACAAAAAUGGCUGUUUUCUAAGGGUUUUUUUCUACAUAUAAAUGUAUAGAUCAGAGAGCUCAGUUAAUGACAUCUGGUAAAACUGGCUUUUAAAUAUGUUAUUCAUUCUUUGCUCAAGAGUUUUGCUCUAAGUUUUCUGAUAAAAUAAAUACUAUAAUUUCCCACUUUCUUGAUAAUUUUCCUCUCCCUUCCUUUUCUGUUCCAAAGCAUGUAUAUUUCUAUCUUCAACCAAUCUCAACAUGAGGUUUUUAAAAGUUCUAUCUAUGAGCAUAGGAUUUUCCCUUAAAGACACUGUCCUAAUCAAGCCUAAGUUCAUUUCAGUCAAAAUUUCAAAUGUAUCAGAGCGCUGAUUCUAUUUGUUAAAUUAUAUCAGAGUAUAACUAUCCCAUUAAAUU
ensembl:lncRNA